GUCCUGUAGUGAAAGAAUCAUAUUGAAUUGCAAAUUCAAAGAAGCAGCUUCAAUUCUGCCGGGGCUU
rnacentral:tRNA from 1 species